rnacentral:rRNA from 1 species
AGUGAACGCUGGCGGUAGGCCUAACACAUGCAAGUCGAACGGCAGCACAGUAAGAGCUUGCUCUUACGGGUGGCGAGUGGCGGACGGGUGAGGAAUACAUCGGAAUCUACUUUUUCGUGGGGGAUAACGUAGGGAAACUUACGCUAAUACCGCAUACGACCUACGGGUGAAAGCAGGGGAUCUUCGGACCUUGCGCGAUUGAAUGAGCCGAUGUCGGAUUAGCUAGUUGGCGGGGUAAAGGCCCACCAAGGCGACGAUCCGUAGCUGGUCUGAGAGGAUGAUCAGCCACACUGGAACGGAGACACGGUCCAGACUCCUACGGGAGGCAGCAGUGGGGAAUAUUGGACAAUGGGGGCAAGCCUGAUCCAGCCAUACCGCGUGGGUGAAGAAGGCCUUCGGGUUGUAAAGCCCUUUUGUUGGGAAAGAAAAGCAGCAGGUUAAUACCCCGCUGUUCUGACGGUACCCAAAGAAUAAGCACCGGCUAACUUCGUG